CGAGGAAUAUUGGGCAAUGCCCGCAAGGGUGACCCAGCAACGCCGCGUGGAGGAUGAAAGCCGUAAGGUUGUAAACUCCUGUGAGAGGGGACGAAUGAUUACGUUUCGUAAGGAACGUGAAGUGACUGUACCCUCAGAGGAAGCCCCGGCUAACUACGUGCCAGCAGCCGCGGUAAUACGUAGGGGGCAAGCGUUGUCCGGAUUUACUGGGUGUAGAGGGCGCGUAGGCGGGUUGAUAAGUUAGAGGUGAAAUCCUGCGGCUUAACCGCAGAACUGCCCCUAAUACUGUCAAUCUUGAGUUCAGAAGAGAGAAGCGGAAUUCCAGGUGUAGUGGUGAAAUACGUAGAUAUCUGGAAGAACACCAGUUGCGAAGGCGGCUUCUUGGUCUGACACUGACGCUGAGGCGCGAAAGCGUGGGGAGCAAACA
rnacentral:rRNA from 1 species